rnacentral:rRNA from 1 species
AAAAGGGCCUUUGCGGGCCCUGAGCCGGAUCACAAACACUUUGUUAAACGAAUGCAAGCGGACAUUGAGCCGUCUAAACUUUAACAACUUUCAACAACGGAUCUCUUGGCUCUCGCAUCGAUGAAGAACGCAGCGAAAUGCGAUAAGUAAUGUGAAUUGCAGAAUUCAGUGAAUCAUCGAAUCUUUGAACGCACCUUGCGCUCCUUGGUAUUCCGAGGAGCAUGCCUGUUUGAGUGUCUUGAAGUCAUCAACCCCUUCCGUUUCGUGCGGUGUGGUGUGUUGGAUAUGGGGCCUGCGGUCGAGAGACCGCUCCCCUCAAAUGCUUCGGUUGGGCCUGUGGGUCGAACUCGGUUGGGCGUUGUAACAACCUCGCUCUCUGCCGAGAUGUUCCCCUGUCUUUCGUGCCCUUCCACGACCGCCUUGCGAGCGGCGGUCAAAACAACUUUGAAAUCUGACCUCAAAUCAGGUAGGACUACCCGCUGAACUUAAGCAUAUCAAUAAGCGGAGGAAAAGAAACUAACAAGGAUUCUCCUAGUAACUGCGAGUGAAGCGGGAAAAGCUCAAAUUUGAAAUCUGGCGGUUCCGCCGCCCGAGUUGUAUUCUGGAGAAGCGUCUUCCGCGC